GACGACGUCCCUUCCUUAGACCCCUCGUCCCCAUUCCUCAACAUCAGAAAGCAAUGCAAAUAUAUAUUUAGGGAUGGAUCGUGUUACUCUCUGGAGAGCACGAGUAAUCGCAAGAUGGUGAUCUCCACCAUGCCUUUUGUGAAUAUGGUCCGUUAACAAUUUACAUCUCAAUCUCGUCCGCCGUAUCGGAUUUGCCAAGGAUGCUCUUGAUUAAGCCCCAACUCUGACCUCGUGGGGUUCGACUGGACUGAUAGGCAGCGACUUUCUUUGAAGGGUUAUGCAAUGGGUGAAUACGAGAACUAUGAGGAAGCGCAAGCUGCAGCAUCACUUGAGGGAGCUGAGAGCUCCUCGCUCAAACCAUCCAUGCUGAGUGGAUAUUUAGCAAUGAAGCCAAGAGACACGAGGCACGUUGAACACAUGAGGUGAAUGAUGGAAGGAAAUAGCUAAAAAGUUGUUCCUGUCCAAGGCACGUGGAAAUAGAAAGGGAGUACGUAAUUAUUUUGAGACGAACGAAAUUUGAAAGUAGAAAUUGUGCCUCUAGUUUAUUCUUUUAGGCUUUAAUUGACCUAUCCGUUUAUGGGCUUCAUUUGAACUUUCAACAAUCGUUUAAAAAUUGUAUCUGCUGUUUAUAUUCUGAUACUAUCUAUGACUUAUGAACGUUUUGAUUACUUA